UUAAGCGACUAAGCGUACACGGUGGAUGCCCUGGCAGUCAGAGGCGAUGAAGGACGUGCUAAUCUGCGAUAAGCGUCGGUAAGGUGAUAUGAACCGUUAUAACCGGCGAUUUCCGAAUGGGGAAACCCAGUGUGUUUCGACACACUAUCAUUAACUGAAUCCAUAGGUUAAUGAGGCGAACCGGGGGAACUGAAACAUCUAAGUACCCCGAGGAAAAGAAAUCAACCGAGAUUCCCCCAGUAGCGGCGAGCGAACGGGGAGCAGCCCAGAGCCUGAAUCAGUGUGUGUGUUAGUGGAAGCGUCUGGAAAGGCGCGCGAUACAGGGUGACAGCCCCGUACACAAAAAUGCACAUGCUGUGAGCUCGAUGAGUAGGGCGGGACACGUGGUAUCCUGUCUGAAUAUGGGGGGACCAUCCUCCAAGGCUAAAUACUCCUGACUGACCGAUAGUGAACCAGUACCGUGAGGGAAAGGCGAAAAGAACCCCGGCGAGGGGAGUGAAAAAGAACCUGAAACCGUGUACGUACAAGCAGUGGGAGCACGCUUAGGCGUGUGACUGCGUACCUUUUGUAUAAUGGGUCAGCGACUUAUAUUCUGUAGCAAGGUUAACCGAAUAGGGGAGCCGAAGGGAAACCGAGUCUUAACUGGGCGUUAAGUUGCAGGGUAUAGACCCGAAACCCGGUGAUCUAGCCAUGGGCAGGUUGAAGGUUGGGUAACACUAACUGGAGGACCGAACCGACUAAUGUUGAAAAAUUAGCGGAUGACUUGUGGCUGGGGGUGAAAGGCCAAUCAAACCGGGAGAUAGCUGGUUCUCCCCGAAAGCUAUUUAGGUAGCGCCUCGUGAAUUCAUCUCCGGGGGUAGAGCACUGUUUCGGCAAGGGGGUCAUCCCGACUUACCAACCCGAUGCAAACUGCGAAUACCGGAGAAUGUUAUCACGGGAGACACACGGCGGGUGCUAACGUCCGUCGUGAAGAGGGAAACAACCCAGACCGCCAGCUAAGGUCCCAAAGUCAUGGUUAAGUGGGAAACGAUGUGGGAAGGCCCAGACAGCCAGGAUGUUGGCUUAGAAGCAGCCAUCAUUUAAAGAAAGCGUAAUAGCUCACUGGUCGAGUCGGCCUGCGCGGAAGAUGUAACGGGGCUAAACCAUGCACCGAAGCUGCGGCAGCGACGCUUAUGCGUUGUUGGGUAGGGGAGCGUUCUGUAAGCCUGCGAAGGUGUGCUGUGAGGCAUGCUGGAGGUAUCAGAAGUGCGAAUGCUGACAUAAGUAACGAUAAAGCGGGUGAAAAGCCCGCUCGCCGGAAGACCAAGGGUUCCUGUCCAACGUUAAUCGGGGCAGGGUGAGUCGACCCCUAAGGCGAGGCCGAAAGGCGUAGUCGAUGGGAAACAGGUUAAUAUUCCUGUACUUGGUGUUACUGCGAAGGGGGGACGGAGAAGGCUAUGUUGGCCGGGCGACGGUUGUCCCGGUUUAAGCGUGUAGGCUGGUUUUCCAGGCAAAUCCGGAAAAUCAAGGCUGAGGCGUGAUGACGAGGCACUACGGUGCUGAAGCAACAAAUGCCCUGCUUCCAGGAAAAGCCUCUAAGCAUCAGGUAACAUCAAAUCGUACCCCAAACCGACACAGGUGGUCAGGUAGAGAAUACCAAGGCGCUUGAGAGAACUCGGGUGAAGGAACUAGGCAAAAUGGUGCCGUAACUUCGGGAGAAGGCACGCUGAUAUGUAGGUGAAGCGACUUGCUCGUGGAGCUGAAAUCAGUCGAAGAUACCAGCUGGCUGCAACUGUUUAUUAAAAACACAGCACUGUGCAAACACGAAAGUGGACGUAUACGGUGUGACGCCUGCCCGGUGCCGGAAGGUUAAUUGAUGGGGUUAGCGCAAGCGAAGCUCUUGAUCGAAGCCCCGGUAAACGGCGGCCGUAACUAUAACGGUCCUAAGGUAGCGAAAUUCCUUGUCGGGUAAGUUCCGACCUGCACGAAUGG
rnacentral:rRNA from 1 species